CCAUCCUAAAAUUCUAACCAGCUAGAUAACAAGUUGGCAAUUUCUUUUAAUAUAAAAAAUAUAUUACUGACAAUAGGGAUAUGUUAUCUGUUGGAUGUUCAGCCUUCAAGACAAAAGAGACUUAAGGUGAAGUGACCAACGGUUAAUAGAAUACUGCAUACGUUAGCUAGGCAUUUCUUUUAAAUAAAGUUUCAUAAACAAUGUGAAAUUAAGUUAUUUUUGAUGCAGUGUUUCCACUAAGAUGAAGAAGGAAAGCAACACCGUGGAAAGUGAAAAGAAGGCAUAUGUCAAAUGAAAAGGAGAUUUGGUGGCCAAUGAAAAACAUAAAAAUCAAAUGGAAGAAACCGAUGGUAUGGCAAAUGAAGGAAACAAAAUUGAUAAAUGUGUAAACGUGGAGAAGUCAAUUACAGGUGGUCAAAGGCGAAUGACUAAGAAAUUUAAUGGCCAAUAAGAUUUUUCCAAGUACAGCAUAUAAAUUCGACCAGUGAAAUGGGCCCAAGUGAAUUGUACAAUUGACGCUACUUUAGAUACUAAUUGUAUUGCCAGAGAUAAGUAAGGAUGCCAAUAAAUGUGGACGAGGCAAAGCUGCAACAACUCUUGCUAGCAGCUCGAACAGGAAAUUUGGAAUGUAAAUUUCCUUUGUUAUUCUCUACUUCCUCCUCUAUGAUUGAGGCUGUUGCGAGUGAGAACUGUCUUCACCAUAACAAUAACAUACAAACACAAACUUAAGGAGCAAAUGCAAUAUUGCGGAUCAUCUAAAGGAAGUUAGUAAGCUUGCCUAGGUGAAGGCUCAGGUUUCAAAAGUUAAAGGUGCCAUGAUGGAAAACAUUGAGAAGGUAGACUAUACUAACCUCCUUUUUGGAUUAUACUCCUUGAAAAGACUUGACUUCUUGCUUUUGAGACUGGAAAGACACAAAGAAACUGUAUGUGGCUGGUUAAUGUGAAUUAUGGCCAUGCACUGGUUCUUGAUCGAGGGGAGAAUAUGGAGCUUUGUCAUUGAAUCUGCCAUUACUUUUAUGCUUCUGUUCGGUUUUUAUACCACUUGAGAGAUAAUUCUUACAUCAAAAAGGUACGUUGGGUACCUUGCAUCUAACCUACAAAGUCACAACUGCUCCACUAUUAUAAGGUUACUCCAUCAUGGAAGAUAAAGUUUUAACUCUUUUCAUCCUCAAAGGUUUCCAUAUCAUGCACUUGAGAUUUCAAAUUGAUAGUUGCAUAUCGACAAAAUUGGGACUUGCAUCAGCUUUAGAAGGUGUAUUUAGUUUUCAAACUCACAAAUUUGGUUAUUUAUAGCUAAGGUGAUGGCACACAGAAUACCUUUGUAUAUUAGCC